GCUGCCAGACCUUCCUUCGACGCCGGAGUGUUGACCUAGUUUGGAAACCCUGAAGCUCUGGAUGAGCUCCACCUAGAAACCUGCCUGCCUGCUCAUGAAAGCCAAACCUGAAGAUCUCAGUUUGGAUUCCUUCUUCAGCUCUUGGAUAGAGCAAGGAACAAACCCAAGCCAGAAACCUUCUAGCUCGGAACUAGACGCUGCUGCUGCUUAAACUCUCUGCCACAUCAUUGACUCUGGACCUACGGUAUCUCACCUCACGGCUCUGUUACAAUCUCCUCAAGAAACUCUGAGACCAGUCCCGGACCAGUACCAGAACCAGAUCCAGC